CGCGUAGGCGGCUGGGUAAGUCGGAUGUGAAAUCCCUGGGCUUAACCUGGGAACUGCAUUCGAUACUGCCCGGCUAGAGUAUGGUAGAGGGAAGCGGAAUUCCGGGUGUAGCGGUGAAAUGCGUAGAUAUCCGGAGGAACACCAGUGGCGAAGGCGGCUUCCUGGACCAAUACUGACGCUGAGGUGCGAAAGCGUGGGGAUCAAACA
rnacentral:rRNA from 1 species